rnacentral:rRNA from 1 species
GACGAACGCUGGCGGCGUGCCUAACACAUGCAAGUCGAGCGGGGAGGGCCUUCGGGUUCUUCCAGCGGCGGACGGGUGAGUAACGCGUGAGCAACCUUUCCUUCACAGGGGGAUAACGCAGCGAAAGCUGUGCUAAUACCGCAUAAGACCACAAUGUCACAUGGCAAAGGGGUCAAAGGAGCAAUCCGGUGAAGGGUGGGCUCGCGUCUGAUUAGCUAGUUGGCGGGGUAACGGCCCACCAAGGUGACGAUCAGUAGCCGACCUGAGAGGGUGAUCGGCCACACUGGGACUGAGACACGGCCCAGACUCCUACGGGAGGCAGCAGUGGGGAAUAUUGGGCAAUGGGCGAAAGCCUGACCAAGCAACGCCGCGUGAGGGAAGAAGGUUUUCGGAUCGUAAACCUCUGUCCUUGGGACGAAGAAAUGACGGUACCCAAGGAGGAAGCCCCGGCUAACUACGUGCCAGCAGCCGCGGUAAAGUAC